rnacentral:lncRNA from 1 species
UGUUUGACUUGUAUGUGUGGGGGCUGGUUGUAUAUAUGAGUGUGUCCGUUUGCAUUGAGGCCAGAAAGCAACCUCAAGUGUCAUACAUACACCUUAUCUUUUUGAGGCAGGGUCUCUCGUGGACACUAUGCCAUGUCUCUUUAGCUGUCUUCUUCAGUGUCACCUUCAAGUGGUGGCAGUAGAGGAAAAUCAAGCUCUAUAGCCUGGCAAAUAACCCAGGCCCAGUACAUCUUUAUUACCAUCUAUUAAAUACAUCUAUCUAUAUUAUUUAUAUCAGUAUUAUCUAUCUAUCUAUCUAUCUAUCUAUCUAUCUAUCUAUCUAUCUAUCUAUCUAUCUAUCUAAUUAUGAGGUACAGAUGAAUAGAUAGAUGAAAGUUAUAUAGAUAUAAUUUUGAUCUACCUAUUAUGUCCUCAUCUGUGCUUUGAGAUCUAAUUUAAAUGUCACUUCUUAAUAUACCUUUUUUUUUUUUUUUUGUGCAGUUCCUCCGGGUACCUAAAACAUACACAUUUUGCCCAUGGUGUUCCUCUACUGGUUUAGAUAAUUCUUUACUCUUAAAUUAUGUUAGCUCUCACCAUUCACAUGGAAAAGUGUGAAUUUAGUGAUCUUACACUUAUUGGUAAAGUUUUAUUUCUCUUUUUGUAAGACACACUCAACAUAAAGUCCAGCUUAGUACUAAAGAUACUGUGCACUUCCUGUACACAAUGCUGGGAAGGGGCCAGCGUUUGCUGGAAGUGGAAGAAUUUAGGUCUGACCCUGGGGUUGUUACUACAUGGUAACUGCCUGUCAUCUCUGAAUGAACAAAGCAUUACUCUACAGGGAAAGUGAAAUAAGUAAGAAUGGGGUUCUGAAAGUGUGCUUUCUACCACCGAGCCGCAGCCAAGCGUUUUUGUGGGAAGGGGUGGAGGUGUAUACAUGUAUGUGUGCAUGCUUAUGUGCAGCCCGAAGACAAUCUUUCAUUUCUCACUGCCAUUUACCUGGCUUUUUCCAGUUAAGGUUUCCACCGAGGUUAGGACCUUCGGUGUAACUGAUUCUCUUAGACUUACUGACUAGCAAUUCCAGAGAGUCUCCUGUCUUUGCUAACACUGUGAGUUUUUUAUAUGAGUUCUGGGGAAUAAAUUUAGGUUCCCAUGCUUGUAUAAUAAGCACUUUACACACUGAGCUAUCUACCCGGGCCCAAGUGUGCUUUUUUUUUUUUUUUUUUUUGUUAAGCUCUAGCCACUACUGUCAUAGUACCUUAUUUAGAAUUUUCCAGUUGGCUAAUUACCAAGCGAUCUUUAAAGGCAGGCACUGUUAGGUUUCUGAAACAUAUAGACCAUCUGAGUCUCAGGAGAAAAUUCAGGUUUUCUCCAGAGGUAAGUUCAUGCUUUCGUUUUACUACGACGGAAUGUCUUUUGAAGGUCACACAGAUCCACUUGCUCUGGGAUUGUUGAUUUCCUUCAAGGGUAGAGGCAGUACUCUUCAGCUCCAUUCCACAAGGACCUCCUCUUGAGCUGCUCAGGCCUGACUCAUUCAGCAGACCCCAAUCCUCUUCCUGUUUGCCCAUCAUUCGCCCUCCCCAUCUCCUCACCUCUUCCCCACCCUUCCCCUUUUCUUUCUCCAUAUUCCUUGAUGCCACUGAGAAAAAAAAGUAGGGAAUUUAAAUAAACAUUUAUCUAGAAUCAGAUUGCCUUAAUCUCUGAUGGCAGCCAAUUCUUUUCUUUGCUGUUGUAGACUGAUUGUUUCCAAGCAGUAAAUUAUGAUUUAGAGUCCUGAGCACGAGAGACUUUGAACCAAGGAAGCUUCCGAGGAGGGUAAAGUGUCUACUGUUGUUGGAGGUCUUAGAUCCAGUUUGUGUGGUAUAAAUGGCAAGUUAGUGUAAGAGAGAAAAAUGCAGGGGGUAAUGGAUAGUAUUGGACGACCUGGGUCUUUGAGAGAGAGAAGCCGUCUGCCCUAAUAUGCAGAGUGCUAGAAAACCAUGAACACCACAUGGGAAGAGGUGGUGUGUAGGAAGAGCAUAGUGCGGUGGGAAGGUCUUCAUAAAUGAGGCUGGAAAUCUGGACAGGUGCUAAGAGUGUGGAGUGAACUGGAGAUUGUCAACAAUUGAAAGGGGAUAUGAUUACAGAGGCUUGUGCCUAUGCAAUGUAAUUAAAGAAGUUAAUUAAGGAAAUUCAAGAAAGAAAC